rnacentral:rRNA from 1 species
AUACGUAGGUGGCAAGCGUUAUCCGGAAUUAUUGGGCGUAAAGAGUGAGCAGGCGGUUAAUUAAGUCUGAGGUUAAAGCGUGGGGCUCAACCCCAUAAAGCCUUGGAAACUGAUUGACUAGAGUACGGGAGAAGUGAAGGGAACUCCCUGUGUUGCGGUGAAAUGCGUAGAGAUAUGGAAGAACACCAGUGGCGAAGGCGCUUCACUAGCCCGAAACUGACGCUCAGUCACGAAAGCGUGGGUAGCAAAUAGGAUUAGAGACCCUAGUAGUCCACGCUGUAAACGAUGACAACUAAAUAUUGCCGCGAGGCAGUGUUGAAGCUAACGCAUUAAGUUGUCCGCCUGGGGAGUACGGUCGCAAGACUGAAACUUAAAGGAAUUGACGGGG